rnacentral:lncRNA from 1 species
GUCUCUCAACUGACCAAUGGUAAUCGGCUUGUUACUCUGCAAAUCCUGCAACAGAGAACAACUUGUUAAAGAAAUGAUAGCAAUUCGCCAUGUUUUCGUGAUUGAGGUUAUUAAUAUAAGAUUACAUUUAAAAGUGGGCAAAUAUAGUACAUCAGUUAACAAGAUCCUAUCAUUCAAUCUUAUUGUCACCAAGUAAUACACCAGUCUAAAGGUUCCAUCAGGUAAUUUCACAGGCUUUAGUUUAGACAAUUUGUGUAUGGUUUUAAAAAAAUUUAGGUCAUACGUCAUGUGGUCAAUCCACCUUAUGUCAAUAUUCCAUUCUCCUAUUUUGUCAUUUUCAAGCAAAAUAGGAUUUCUAGAGGAUACAUUACCUACAAAAGAGCAAUUGUUGGCUUGAAAGUUGUUGUCUAGUGGCCCUUGCUGUUAUUUCCCGUUCAUAGCUUUGAGUUGUGUUAUGAUCUUUGCUAAAUCACCUUCCCAGUCCUUGCUAGUCAUAUGAGCAGCUUCACUUUUCAUCAAUCCACCUUAUGUCAAUAUUCCAUUCUCCUAUUUUCUUAUUUUCAAGCAAAAUAGGACUUCUAGAGGAUACAAUACCUACAAAAGAGCAAUUGUUGGCUUGAAAGUUGUUGUUUAGUGGCCCUUGCUGUUGUUUCCCUUUCAUAGCUUUGAGUUGUGUUAUGAUCUUUGCUAAAUCACCUUCCCAGUCCUCGCUAGUCAUAUGAGCAGCUUCACUUUUCAUCUCAAAUGGUGUUUCUUCCAUGUUCUUCACCAAAUGUGCUCGAGAUUGCGACUAUGAUUGUGUUUUCUUUUAUUUCAACUCAAACCACCAAUCUGGAUAACCUAUCAAUUUGAAAUAGAUAUCCCUAGUGUGUCUUUUUAUCUUGCAACAUGUGCAAUAUGGGCUCUCUUUGUUGUUCAUAUCCCUAGCUCUGUAGUUGUUUCUUGUGUCCUUGUAGGUAGGCUUCUUGUAACCAGAAAUCCCUUGAGCCAACAUCAUAGUAGAUGCCUCAUUAGAAUCCGCAAGCAUGUGAGUAACCUCUCAUUGUUUUUCCACGCUCAACAUUAUAGAGUAUGCUUUAUUGAUUGUUGGAAAUAGAUCCAUGAGAAGGAUUUGGUUAAUCACAUGGUUAUAACCAUCAUUCAAUCCUAGGAGAAACCGCAUCAGCUUUGCCCUAUUAUCGAGAUCAUCAUGAACCCUAGCCGCAACACAAUAUCAGUUGGGUGUUUGGAGUAAUUGCUGAAUUCGUCCCAUUUUUCUUUAAUUGAGUGUAAUAAACUGUAAGAGAGUUGUUACCUUAAGAGAAUCUUGAGAUUUCUCUAGUCAAUUGAUAAAUGAGCGAUCCAUUGCUAUCUCUGAAUCGAUGAUUUAACUUCGUCCACAAAUCCUUCAUGGAAUCAACAUAGAGAAAAGCUUUAGCCAAGUCUCUUGAAAUUGAAUUCAAGAGCCAUGAAACUACCAUAUUGUUGGUUCGAAUCCAUUGCUUAUAAGUUGGAGAAUUAAGACAAGGAUUCAUUGACCUUUCAAUUAAUUUAAUCAUGUUUGUUCUUAGCACAUAAAGCAAUUGUAAUAUACCUGCUCCAAGAAUGAACGUUCAUUCCAUUCAACUAUGUGCUAACGAGCGUCAAGCUUGGUUGAUCUAAGUUAGCGAGGAAGAUAGGGUCAUUAUUCAGUUCUUGAUCGGAUCGAUCAAGUCUUGUUCUGGACGUUUCAUUUUCAAUUGUUUCAGUCGUCAUUGUAUGUGGUGAAUCAAAAGAGAACAGAAGAUCAAUGCUCGUGAUCGAGCUCCAAUACCAUGAUGAGAUUUCAAGGUCACAGAUUCAAGAUCGAGAGAGAAAUCUCAAAGAUGAAGUCAAAAGAGAAAUGAGAAAAAAUCUAUUUGUCAUUGAUUGUUGCAAAAUGAUAUAGCUAAUGUGUUUAUAUAAAUCUAAUCUAGAACAUUAUGGAAAGGUAAAGUAAAACAUGUUGAGUUGUCAUGUGGGGAUAGAAAAUAAAAAAUAAAAUAAAUAUAAAUAAUAUAUUUAAAAACCUACUUUCUGGGAAGUUCAAUUCUCAUAAAGUAAAGUUCCAGGGAAGUUAUUUCCUCGGAAGUACAAUAUAAUUAUAUUUGGUUGAUAUAUUAACUUUUUGGGAAGUAAAAUUGUGUUAAUAAAAUUUUACAUAUGAAAUGUCAAUAAUAUCAUACCAUGACUUGAGUAUAUUAAUUAAAUAAUUCAUUAAAAAUACCUAUGAAACAAAGGCAAAAUAGAGUUUUCUAAUUUCUAGAACUCAGGAAGUUCACUUCCUUGGAUUGAGGGGUAACUUUCCCUACAGUCAAGGAAGUAAGAGUUUCAAGUUUCAGAGAAUUUCUAUAUUUUUGGGAACCAAACAAGAUGACAUUUCUCACUUUCUAGAAACUUCAAGUUCCCAAAUAAAGUUACCUCCAACCAAACGAGGCCUAAUUUAAGUCAUAAAAUUUUUAAAUUACAAAAUUAUUUAAAACCUUAUUGAUUUAUUUUUUUUAGUAUAAGUUUUAUAUUAAAAAUUUGCACUUAUAUUUUUGAGUAAAUUUUAGCUGAAAAUUUUAAUUCAAAAUUCUUAAAAAUAACUUAUUUUGGUUUCCUCGGAAAAUAUUCUUGAAAUUGUCCGUAUAGUUGUAAUCUCAAAAAUUAAUUAAUAUCAAAAUUUUUAACUUAGAAGACCAUAAGAAACAUAUAGAUUUUUCGUAUUUUAAAAUUUUAAUAUUAAAUGUAAGAAAAAUGUACAAAAAAAAUAACAAAUUAUGGUAGUCAUCGAUGACCAGUGAUAGUGGCUGGCGGUGGUCGUGAUUAAUAAAUUAAUAAAUAUGCAUUUAUAAGCGUAUAAAUAAAUUUAUCAAUUUUCAAAAAUUGUUUCUCACUUUUAAAAAUAGAAAGUUAUUUUCUUAAAAAAAAAAUUUAAUUUUCUCUUUGAUUGAUUUUCCUGAACAUCAAAACAUAAAAAUUUUAGAAAAUAUUUGUCAAACAAUUUAUUUUUUGAUAAUAAAUAGAGUAUUAAUAUUAUAAAUAUAUAUUCUAUAAUAAAAAAAUGAUUACGUUUAACUGCAUAAGAAUAAGAAUUAUUUUCACAUUUGUUAGAAAGAAUAAGAAUAAGGUUGUUCGUUGCUUAGCCAAAUUGUAUAAUAGUUUAUCAAAUAUAUAUUUUUUAAUAAAAUUGAUUCUUUGGUUUGGAGCAUUGUUUAAUAAAAAGUAAAAGUAAUAUUUAGUCCCUGAGGUCUUAUCAAAUUCAUUACUUCAUCCCUUUAUUUUGAAAAAUGUAUUAAUAGAGUCCCAAAUUUAGUUUCGUCCAAGUUCCAACUAAGUAUCUGUCAUAAAGAGGGCUUUUCACUGUUAAGUACGAUGGGAAAGCACAAAUAUGUCCUUUUCCUAGACCUCGCAGCAAAUCCACCAUUUAUUUUUUUAUCAUUAUGUUGUGCUUCUACUUAUCCCAAGGUUUUUAAAACAAGACUGAAUAUUAAACCGGCAUCAUUACUAAGUCGUAAUUGGACCGGAUCGACUCGAAUCAUCGUAUGUUGGCUUAUAGAUCUAUACCACAAUUCAUAAAAUUUUAAAAAUAAAAAAUAAAUAUAUAUAUUUUUUAUUUUUAUUUUAAAUAUUAUUAUUAAUAAAAUAAAGAAGCGUAUUGAUGCAUAAAUCUUAUAACAAAAUAAUAGUAAUAUAAUUAAAUUGUAAAAUUAUUUUUAAAUCAUUUUCUCAUAUAUAUAUAUAUAUAUAUAUAUAUAAUAUUUUUAUUAAAUUAUAAAAAAAAAUUAUACAUUGAAAUUAAACAUUAAUAAAUAAUUUUAUUAUCAUUCAAUCUCAAAUUUAAAUUUAAUUUAAUUUUCAAUAAAUGAUCAUCUUUAAUUUAAAAUUUAAUAUUUUCUUCUUUUUAAAAUAUUUUAUUUUAAUAUUGAAAAAUGAAAAUUAUUAAAAUAUUAAAAUUCUUUUAAUAUUAAUAAGAUACAAUGCACGAAACUAGGUACUUAAUUAUGACAUAUUAAUUUAACAUUAAAAUUUCUAUUAUCACUUUUCAAAGUAAUUACCAGUUUUUUUACUAAAUAAAUAAAAAAAUAAGUUAAAAAAUAAAAAUAGUUUACUUUUCAUAAAUAUUAAUAUUAGUUAUAUUAUUAGUACUAAAAAAAUUAAAAAUUUAUUAAUUAACUAAAAUGAUAAUUAUUGUAAAAAUUUAUUGUAUUUAUUGAAGCCAUAAAUGAGUUUUUUUAUUUUUUUAUUUUAAAUUAUUAUGCAUCUUUUUAUUGAUUUUUAAGCAUUUUAAAAAAAUUUUACUAUUUUAAAUUAUUUGUAUAAGUCUGUAGGUAACUUUAUACAUUUGCAUGUGAUUCUAAUUAUUAUAGGGGAACAAAUUGGGUAAAAAUAAAAGAAAAAAAAUUAAAAGGCCAAAAAAGUCAAAAUCCGAGUUUAACUGGUUCAAUUCAAUUUUUUAAUUUUUUCAGUUCAAACCGGUUUUAUUCAGUUUUUACACCCUAUGGGCUCUACAUAUCAAAUUAGAUCAGACCGACUUUCAGUUCACGUUGAACCGGUUCAACCGGUAGGUCCAGUGUUAAAAACACUGACUUUUCCAUUGACGGAUUUAGGGGCCACGGAGGGCCUCCCCCUUAACUAAUUUUUUUUGAAAAAAAUUAUCUCAUAAAAUUUUGAAAUUUUUUAUUUUACUCGUUAAAAUAGUAAAUUUUUCCAAUUUACCCUCUUGACUCUUUGAAAUUUUUUUUUUUAUCUUCACUGAACUUUAAUUUCUGGCUCUAUCGGUAGGCUUAUUUAUCAAUGGGAGGUUAUUGCAAGUAGAUUUCUCUAUAAUUGAAGAUAGUUAUUGGAAAUGUGAAUACCUGACCGGGAAUGUUGCCGCCGAAUUGGUUCAUGCUCAAGUGCACAUACUCUAGUCGGUUCAGUAACCGAUCCACGAGUUUACUGUAUCUUUAUGAAAGAGAAAAGUAUUGAGUCGGAGGGAGAGAAGAUGGUGCAAGCAAAUUGGAGAGAGCUUUGUGUUGCAAAUCGAGUCGAGUUGGUAGUUGGUUGUUGGAAAUUUCUUCUCCUCGAUCUGUAGUGGCUUAGUGGAGGAGGGCAGAGAUAAAAUGGUGGUGAUGUGAAGGCG